AUGACUCGUUUGCCACAAAGCCUCUCACAACCAUGUCUAUCCCAACCAACUGGAGAUGGAAUCACAUUGAUCACUCCAAAUAUUUAUCUCGGAAGUCAAAUUGAUAGCUUGGAUGAGACCAUGUUAGAUGCUCUUGAUAUCAGUGUUGUCAUCAACCUUUCUAUGACUUGCCCCAAAUCCGUAUGCAUCAAAGAAGAUAAGAAUUUUAUGAGAAUCCCAGUAAAUGACUCCUAUCAAGAAAAACUUUCUCCAUAUUUUCCAAUGGCUUAUGAAUUUCUUGAAAAAUGCAGAAGAGCCGGAAAGAAGUGCCUGAUUCAUUGUUUGGCUGGCAUUUCUAGAAGCCCCACACUGGCUAUUUCGUAUAUUAUGCGCUACAUGAAAAUGGGAAGCGAUGAUGCAUACAGAUAUGUGAAAGAGCGUCGCCCUUCGAUCUCGCCAAACUUCAAUUUUAUGGGACAAUUGCUUGAAUACGAGAAUGUUUUAAUCAAAGAUCAUGUGCUUGACUACAAUCAAGCUUCAAGACCACACCGACAUAUGGACUACUAUGGGCCAUCUGAUCUGUGUCCACCAAAGGUUCCAAAAAGUGCAUCAUCCAACUGUGUAUUCCCUGGAAGUACUCAUGAUGAAUCAUCACCAUCUUCUCCUUCUGUAUCAGAAGGAUCAGCUGCAAGUGAGCCUGAGACAUCAUCAUCAGCUGCUUCAUCUUCAUCAACUGCAUCUGCACCUCCAUCGAUGCCUUCUACAAGUGAACAAGGAACAUCGUCAGGAACAGUUAAUGUCAAUGGAAAGAGAAAUAUGACCAUGGAUUUGGGACUUCCCCAUCGCCCAAAAGCUCUUGGACUUCCAUCAAGAAUCGGUACUUCUGUUGCGGAGCUGCCGUCUCCAUCAACUGAACUUUCGAGAUUAAGCUUUAAUGGUCCAGAAGCAAUUGCUCCAUCUACUCCAAUUCUUAACUUUACCAACCCAUGUUUCAAUUCUCCAAUCAUCCCAGUUGCAUCUAGCUCGCGAGAAGUUAUUCUGACCCUUCCAACUCCAGCUGCUUCAUCUUCUUCUUCAACAUCAUCUGAACCAUCUUUUGAUUUCUCAUCAUUUGAAUCUUCAUCAUCGUCUUCAAUUGUUGUCGAGAACCCAUUUUUCGCCAGCACAGAAGUGCCUGCUGGAUCAUCAUCGAUAUCCACACCAUCUGGAUCACAAUCAACUCCAGCAUCUGCUUCUUCAUCAGCUGCUUCUAGAUGCAGAAUGAAGGGAUUCUUUAAAGUAUUCAGCAAGAAGGCUCCAGCUUCAACUUCCACCCCGGUUAGUAUAAUGAAAUUACAUUAAACUCCCCCACAAGCCGAAUCAAUUUUUAUUUUUCACAUUUUCAGGCUUCCUCAACCCCUGGAACUUCCCGAGCAGCUCGUCCAGAAUGUCUCCGAUCAUCCGGCAUCAUUAUCUCAGCACCAGUUCUUGCAAUUACAGAAGAAGAAGAUGCCGAGUCUCCAGAAUCGGGGUUUAACGAACCCGAAGUCGGAGAAGAAGACGAUGAUUCGGUGUCAAUUUGCUCGACGAGCUCUUUGGAAAUUCCGUGUCACCAGUAA
rnacentral:misc_RNA from 1 species